rnacentral:rRNA from 1 species
GAUGAACGCUGGCGGCGUGCCUAAUACAUGCAAGUCGAGCGAACAGAUGAGGCGCUUGCUCCUCUGACGUUAGCGGCGGACGGGUGAGUACCACGUGGAUAACCUACCUUUAAGACUGGGAUAACUUCGGGAAACCGGAGCUAAUACCGGAUAAUAUAUUGAACCGCAUGGUUCAAUAGUGAACGACCUUUUUGCUGUCACUUAUAGAUGUAUCCGGGCCGCAUUAGCUAGUUGGUACGGUAACGGCUUACCAAGGCAACGAUGCGUAGCCGACCUGAGAGGAUGAUCGGCCACACUGGAACUGAGACACGGUCCAGACUCCUACGGGAGGCAGCAGUGGGGAAUCUUCAGCAAUGGGCGAAAGCCUGACGGAGCAACGACGCGUGAGUGAUGAAGGUCUUCGGAUCGUAAAACUCUGUUAUUAGGGAAGAACAAAUGUGUAAGUAACUAUGCACGUCUUGACGGUACCUAAACAAAAAGCCACGGCUAACUACGUG